rnacentral:tRNA from 1 species
GUUUUAGUAGUUUAACAAAAACAUUGGUCUUGUAAACCAAAAAUAAGAUUAAAUCUUUUAAAACU